AGGUAUGUGGGGCGUACCUUAUUGAAGUUUGGAUACGGGGUUUUCCCCCUGGUACGUUGGGCGUACCUAGAGUACAUAGGGCGUACUCGAUCUUGGGGAAAGCCCCAAAUUUUAAGUGCUCUUAGAAGAGACGAAGUCCACAAUUGAAGCUUGGAAAAUCUCAAGCUCUUAGAUCCAAAACUUCUAUCAUCCUUGCAAGCUUAUGAAGGUACUUCUAGUUCGAAGGGAAAUGGAGUGGCUUGAUCGCAACGUAUCCACCCAUGUUUCUGCAUUUUUAUAAUUUUGGGAUUUGUACUCUGAUAACUAUUUUCACAUUAGCAUACUUUGAUGGUUUGAUUUGAUGAUUUGAUGGAUGUUUAGUUGAAUUAAAAAUGAUUUUUUACUUAUGAAUUUUGUAAUGUUACAGUUAUCAGUGGGAUUUAUAAUCUUGACAAAAAACUUGUCAAGUCUAUGGCUUAAAAAUCUUUCCAAGGUCGGGUGCGAGUACUCUCUUGUGGCGUGAUAAAGGGAUUGGUGUGAACAACCUUGAUACACUCUUCCCUCUCUCUUUGAACUGGACAAGAAAAAACUCAUGUUUGGUGUCGGAGAGAAUGGGCCCUAAUUCGAUUAAUUAGGCAUGGAAAUGAACUCCCAACAACCUCGUGGAGGUUAAUGAGUUUUCUGAUGUCAUUGCUUUUUUUUGGAUUCUGUGGUUAUAAAUGAUGGCAGGGAUUCUUGGAGAUGUUCUUGAUCCUCGGAUGGGAAUUUCUAUGUUCAUGUCCUAAGAAAUUUGAAUGAUUCUAUAUUGACUGAUCCGGUGGAGAAUCCUACUAUUUAUUGCAGGUAAGAUCAUCUUAAAGUGAUUAUUUUCAAUUGGUGGGCUUGCAUGGAUCGUGUUCCUUCUGUGACCGCUCUCUCGUCGCAGAAUUAACGUUCCUAUCACCACCUAUCAUAGCAGCACGUCAAGGUCGAAGGCACCAAGGCCGAGGCGGUGAUGCAGGACCUAGAAUUCCUCUAACGUGGGACAUCCGAAUUAAUAUUACUACUGGGACUGCAAAUGCGUGUAUGAAUUACAUGAACAAGUUCGAAGGCACAAAGAGAUUCAUGUAGAAAUACAAUGAAGACUAACUCAACUGAAAUAAUAAUCAGCGGGUUUUAUGAGAUCAUUUAACAACCACUAAGUUGUUA